GUUUCGUAACGUGAGAAGAAGAAGCAGCCUCCGAAAUGAGACGCAGCUCAUAAGCGCCUCAAGUGGCUGAAUAAUGUUAAUCACUCCAGUCCAGGUGCUUCUAGAUUAAACGGCUGAACAAAUCGACGCAUCUUUCAUUUAAAACAGCUGGACAGUGUCAGAGAUGCGAAGGCACGCAAGGCAAGCAGCGAAUCUGGUUUGAUUGUUACAGCUCCACGAUGGGAAGAACCUCAAGAUUUCUGUAACCCUGACAAACUGCUGUUGUGCCCCUAUGACCCACAUCAUCUGAUCCGGGCCUGCCGGUUCCCCUACCACCUCAUCAAAUGUAGGAAGAAUCACCCUGAAUUGGUCGGUGAAUUAUGGACAUGUCCAUUCAAUGCACGCCACUUGAUGAGAAAACAUGAGCUAUCCCAUCACAUCUCAACCUGUGUGGACCGAUGCUCUGUUAAUGAGACUUACGUGGCCAGAGACAAGACUGAUAGCAAGUUUCAAAUCCCAGUGGGCACCUGGACUGCACCUGUUUGUGAUGAAGACUGGGAUGAAGAAGUGGACAAGCAUGCGACCACAGCGCCAUCUUUUGUCAGAGAUGUGUCCAAAUCGCUUCCUCAGGACAGGGAGAACAACAGCAUUUCCAGCAAUUUAAUUGCUGGUCUCAGGGCGCCACGAGUUCUUCCCUGGACGAGCAGCUGUACUGAUUUUUGAGCUUUUUAAUGUCAAAACUACUAUUUUUCAUUUUCAAUGAAUACUGAAAGUGUUGGUUGGUUGCUUUUGCCAUUUUAUUGUAUAGGUCAAUAGUUCUUGCAGUGAUAAAUUAGUUCACUAAUCUUCAGUUCAGUUUCCCAAAGGUGGAACAAUAGAGGUGGUUUAGGUUCUGUGUUUACACCACAUAAAAGAAAAGCUUACGACCAGGAUAUUUACAAGACUUUAGUUGACAUGUUUUGUGUUGUCAUAGUGGCUCUGUGCCUGUAAUUCUACCUCUGCGGUCUCUUAGGAACGUCAUCCUCAUUUUUUUUUUUUUUUUUUUUUUUUUUGCUUAACAAAUGCUUUUCAUAGAACAGUUGUAAAGGCAAAUAAAUCUCAAUUUAUAAAUGCUAAAAUGUUAGGAUUCAAAAACCUGUGAGCCUUACCAAGUUUGUAGUUUGUGCCCACAUCACACUGGCAUAUUUUCUUCAAUAAAGAAAUAGUCUCCUCUUUAA